GCUGGGCGUGGUGGCGCACGCCUGUAAUCCCAGCUACUUAGGAGGCUGAGGCAGUAGAAUCGCUUGAAUCUGGGAGGUAGAGGAUGCAGUGAGCCAAGAUCACGCCACUGCACUCCAGCCUGGGUGAUAGAGUGAGACUCCGUCUCCA
rfam:Gorilla gorilla gorilla genomic chromosome, chr2B, whole genome shotgun sequence